GGUGGGUACAGCUCAGUGGUAGAGCACGUGCUUAGCAUGCAUGAGGUCCUGGGUUCAAUCCCAAGCUCCUCCA
rnacentral:tRNA from 1 species